UUCAAUACUCUGGCUUCGGCCAGAGUGUGCACUUCUCUUUUAGUAAGACGUUGUGAUCCAUUAGAAAUUGAUUGUCCCCUCUGGUUUGACAAUCAUUGGGCUACCAAUAGUCUGAUAUUGAAGUUCACGAUGACAAAUAAUGCAGUCAUUUCUAACGAUUGUAUAUAUUGUCUUGUGAGCAAUGUCAUGUGCUGGUGUAGCCGUCUGAUGGAUUUUAAAGGCCACAACAUUAAUACNNNNNNNNNNUGUAUUACGACAAUUUAUUUUGGCGUUGCUCAGUUGUGUGCCCGAUCAACAACGGUUUCAUUUGGGAUACCUUUGGGACCCGUCUUGAAACACGGACCAAGGAGUCUAUCUAGUAUGCAAGUAAAUGGGAAUAUUGUAAACCUAUUUGCGUAAAUAACUUGACUGUUUUUUAUGGGAUUACGAGUGUUUUAUCGUUUUAUAACGGGCGCUCCUCCAUCCCGGGGUAUUUUCAUAACAUAUAGUGUACUUGUAUGCUAUAUAGAAAAUAUACCAUGAGCAUACUGGAUAUGACCCGAAAGAUGGUGAACUAUGCCUGAUCAGGUUGAAGUCAGGGGAAACCCUGAUGGAGGACCGAAGCAAUUCUGACGUGCAAAUCG
rnacentral:rRNA from 1 species